rnacentral:rRNA from 1 species
CAGAACGAACGCUGGCGGCAUGCCCAACACAUGCAAGUCGAACGGGAUCCAGGCUUCGGCCUGGUGAGAGUGGCGGACGGGUGAGUAACACGUGGGAACCUGCCUUUGGUUCGGGAUAACCGCGGGAAACUGCGGCUAAUACCGAAUGCUCCCGAGAGGGGAAAGAUUUAUCGCCAGAAGAGGGGCCCGCGUCCGAUUAGGCAGUUGGUGAGGUAAAGGCUCACCAAGGCGACGAUCUGUAGCGGGUCUGAGAGGAUGAUCCGCCACACUGGAACUGAGACACGGUCCAGACUCCUACGGGAGGCAGCAGUGGGGAAUUUUGGACAAUGGGCGCAAGCCUGAUCCAGCCAUGCCGCGUGAGUGAAGAAGGCCUUCGGGUUGUAAAGCUCUUUCAGCCGGGAAGAAAACGCAUGGGUUAAUACCCUGUGUGGAUGACGGUACCGGAAUAAGAAGCACCGGCUAACUACGUG